GUUAUGUUGUUGGUUUAAGCCC
rnacentral:sRNA from 1 species